UAGGGAAUCUUCGGCAAUGGGGGCAACCCUGACCGAGCAACGCCGCGUGAGUGAAGAAGGUUUUCGGAUCGUAAAGCUCUGUUGUAAGAGAAGAACGUGUGUGAGAGUGGAAAGUUCACACAGUGACGGUAACUUACCAGAAAGGGACGGCUAACUACGUGCCAGCAGCCGCGGUAAUACGUAGGUCCCGAGCGUUGUCCGGAUUUAUUGGGCGUAAAGCGAGCGCAGGCGGUUUACUAAGUCUGAAGUUAAAGGCAGUGGCUUAACCAUUGUUCGCUUUGGAAACUGUUAAACUUGAGUGCAGAAGGGGAGAGUGGAAUUCCAUGUGUAGCGGUGAAAUGCGUAGAUAUAUGGAGGAACACCGGUGGCGAAAGCGGCUCUCUGGUCUGUAACUGACGCUGAGGCUCGAAAGCGUGGGGAGCAAACAGG
rnacentral:rRNA from 1 species